AGGAUUAACGCUGGCGGCGUGCAUGAAACAUGCAAGUCGAGCGCGGUGUGAUGCGGGGUAACCCAAUUCACAUCUAGCGGCGAACGGGUGAGUAACACGUGAGCAACCUACCUUUGAGUUGGGGAUAGCCCUGGGAAACCAGGAUUAAUACCCGAUGUGGUCACAACAGGACAUCCUGAUGUGAGUAAAGGCGCAAGCCGCUCAAUGACGGGCUCGCGGCCUAUUAGCUUGUUGGUGGGGUAACGGCCUACCAAGGCGAUGAUGGGUAGCUGGUCUGAGAGGACGAUCAGCCACACUGGGACUGAGACACGGCCCAGACUCCUACGGGAGGCAGCAGUGAGGAAUUUUCGGCAAUGGGGGGCAACCCUGACCGAGCAACGCCGCGUGCAGGACGAAGGUCUUCGGAUCGUAAACUGCUUUUCUCGGGGAAGAGAACGGACGGUACCCGAGGAAUCAGCCCCGGCUAACUACGUGCCAGCAGCCGC
rnacentral:rRNA from 1 species